rnacentral:lncRNA from 1 species
AGAGAGAGAGAGAGAGAGAGAGAGAGAGAGAGAGAGAGAAUUAGAGAGAGAGAGAGCAAUUGAGAGAGAGAAGACAGUAAACGCUUACCUUAGGAUAAUUCUUGCUUUGAAAUCGACAGUGUUGAUAUGCGUUACAGGAUUGUAGAGAGAGAAAGGCAGGAGUUGGGGUGGAAGAAGAAGGCAGAAGAGGAAGGGCUCCACAUCUAGAGAGAGAGAGGAGGCAGCAAAUCCCCACAAUGAUUAUAGGGGAUAACAGAAAGGUCGGAAGGUACAAAGGAAGGCGAGAAUAAAAUAAGUUUAGAGAGAGAAAGUAAGACUGUGAGAGUAGUCAGAAGCUUGUGGCAAGCUCUCUCUUUCUAAACCAGAUCUAUAAAUAAGAUGUAGUCUUCUCUCUCUAAAUGAGAUCUAUAACUUUCUCCCCCUUUCUCCCUAACUAAUUGUGAUGCAUAAAUAAGGUGCAGUCUCUCUCUAGAUGGUGAUUAUAAAUUAGCUGUAGUCUCCAUCCUUCUUUCUCUCACAUGCUUUCUUAACGUAAAAUGGAUGUAAAAUGAGAACAAGGCCUUUCUUUUCUUUUAUAUAUAUAUAUAUAUAUAUAUAUAUUUUGGGAAUUCAGUGGCAUAGAAGGCCUGUAUCCAUUUUUCAUUAAUGCUUUAAAAUGAAAAAGGUUACAACUCAUUUUUUUUACCACCCUGGAAUAAGG